CAUCAAACCCCAUUUUCUCUCUCCAUUUUUGGCAACCAUGGAGAAUCACCGGCACCACCACCACCGUUGCUUCUUCGUCCUCUCCUCGUCCUUCUCGCCUCCUUCACCAUGGCCGCACUCGCAGCUCCUCCUCAUCCGAUGAUGAUGCUUUCGUCGGAGUUCCGAUCUCUUAGUUGUAUGUUCAGAUCUACGUUUCUGUUAGGGUUUCGAAGGUUCAUUUUCCGUGAAGCGAUCUAUUGGUAGGAGGAUGUCGGAGGUUGAUGAGGAGUCAAAGCAGGUGAACUAUAUGGUUGUUAGGGAUGAGAAUAACAAUGUCAAGCUCGCGGAAGAGAUCUUUGGUCAAAACAAUGUUCAACUAAAAACGUUAUGAUUUUCCCGCAAGAAGAAAAAAGUUAAUAAGAAUGCGACAACAACAAAAAGCUGAUUUAGAAAUGGAAGAUAUGAUAUUCAGAGAGGCUGCAAGAAUUGAAGAAGAAUUGAAGGCGGAGCAACCAAAAAAGAAUCUGCAAAUAAGGAAGAAGAAGAAAGAGAAAAGAGACUGUUGUAGCGAAAAAGGUGGAAGUCGAAAGGAAAGAAUCAUAAAAAUUAGAAGCAUAGAAAGAGAAAAGAGGCAACAACCUCUAAAAUA